rnacentral:rRNA from 1 species
AUCUACCUAGUAGUAUGGGAUAGCCACUAGAAAUGGUGGGUAAUACUGUAUAAUCCCUGCGGGGGAAAGAUUUAUCGCUAUUAGAUGAGCCUAUGUUAGAUUAGCUAGUUGGUAGGGUAAAGGCCUACCAAGGCAGUGAUCUAUAGCUGGUCUGAGAGGAUGAUCAGCCACACUGGAACUGAGAUACGGUCCAGACUCCUACGGGAGGCAGCAGUGGGGAAUAUUGGACAAUGGGCGCAAGCCUGAUCCAGCUAUGCCGCGUGAGUGAGGAAGGCCUUAGGGUUGUAAAACUCUUUCAGUGGGGAAGAUAAUGACGGUACCCACAGAAGAAGUCCCGGCAAACUCCGUGCCAGCAGCCGCGGUAAUACGGAGGGGGCAAGCGUUGUUCGGAAUUAUUGGGCGUAAAGGGCAUGUAGGCGGUUCGGUAAGUUAAAGGUGAAAUGCCAGGGCUUAACCCUGGAGCUGCUUUUAAUACUGCCAGACUCGAGUCCGGGAGAGGAUAGCGGAAUUCCUAGUGUAGAGGUGAAAUUCGUAGAUAUUAGGAGGAACACCAGUGGCGAAGGCGGCUAUCUGGUCCGGUACUGACGCUGAGGUGCGAAAGC